UACGGGGGGAGCAAGCGUUGUUCGGAUUUACUGGGCGUAAAGGGCGCGUAGGCGGCGCGACAAGUCACUUGUGAAAUCUCCGGGCUUAACCCGGAGCGGCCAAGUGAUACUGUAGUGCUAGAGUGCGGAAGGGGCUACUGGAAUUCUCGGUGUAGCGGUGAAAUGCGUAGAUAUCGAGAGGAACACCUGCGGCGAAGGCGGGUCGCUGGGCCGACACUGACGCUGAGGCGCGAAAGCCAGGGGAGCGAACGGG
rnacentral:rRNA from 1 species